CAGCAGCCGCGGGAAUACGGAGGGUGCAAGCGUUAAUCGGAAUUACUGGGCGUAAAGCGCACGCAGGCGGUUUGUUAAGUCAGAUGUGAAAUCCCCGGGCUCAACCUGGGAACUGCAUUUGAAACUGGCAAGCUAGAGUCUCGUAGAGGGGGGUAGAAUUCCAGGUGUAGCGGUGAAAUGCGUAGAGAUCUGGAGGAAUACCGGUGGCGAAGGCGGCCCCCUGGACAAAGACUGACGCUCAGGUGCGAAAGCGUGGGGAGCAAACAGGAUUAGAUACCCGUGUAGUCCCUGUCUCUUAUAC
rnacentral:rRNA from 1 species